UACGGAGGGAGCUAGCGUUAUUCGGAAUUACUGGGCGUAAAGCGCACGUAGGCGGCUUUGUAAGUUAGAGGUGAAAGCCUGGAGCUCAACUCCGGAAUUGCCUUUAAAACUGCAUCGCUAGAGUUGUGGAGAGGUAAGUGGAAUUCCGAGUGUAGAGGUGAAAUUCGUAGAUAUUCGGAAGAACACCAGUGGCGAAGGCGACUUACUGGACACAUACUGACGCUGAGGUGCGAAAGCGUGGGGAGCAAACAGG
rnacentral:rRNA from 1 species